CUGAGAUGACUGCUGCUGUGCAGAAAGGGGCUCUCCGUUUCUGAGUGAGGAGCUUCUGUAACAUCCAAAUGGAGACUAGAUUCGUUAGACUGGUGUAUUCCAGGGAACAAGGACCGUUUUCUUUUGCGAACAUGCAUUCUGUCACUCACUCAGUUCUUCUGAUCAUCUUGGUAUUCAGAGGGACCAAUGGUGACUCAGUGAACCAGACAGAAGGCCCAGUGACUGUCUCAGAGGGGGCUCUCAUGACCCUGAACUGUACUUACCAGACUGCUGGUUCGGCUCCCUAUCUUUUCUGGUAUGUCCAGCAUCUCAACAAAGCUCCUCAACUCCUCCUGAAGGGCUUAACAGCAGACAAGAAAGUAGAGCAUGAAGAUUUUCAGGCCACACUUGUUAAGGGGGACAGCUCCUUCCACCUGCAGAAACGGGCGGUGCAAACAUCAGAUUCGGCUGUGUACUACUGUGCUCUGAGUGACACAGUGAUGGAGGGCUGCAGGGGGAGCUGAGCGCAAACCCAGAUGCAGAUGGGGCUCUGGCUGUGGGCAGACCGGAGGGGGUGUUGCUUCUCUCUCCAGUGUGCAAUGCUAGAUGUCUUGUCAAAGCUUUUCCAGGUCUGCUCCUCAGAGCCAGUUGGACCUAGGAAUUCUUGGGUUGCUCUACAGAGAGGAAUCUGGGGCAGGACAGUUCAAAAAGGAACCUAAGAGCUUUUCUCCAGAAAUGCCUGUUUUCAGCCCAUCCACAUGCCCCCAGAUGGCAAAGAAUCCCUUGAAGUGACAUUAGCUCUUCAAUGACUAUUCAGAAAUAUGAUGAAAUAUUUCACAAUGUGUUCAUGAAAAUCCCAAGGCACAUUGUUAAUGGAUGACUGUGCAACCUGGAAGCUAGUCUCUGGUUUUUAAAAUUCAGGCCAAGAUUGUGUAUCCUGCUGAGUUUCACCUGCAGACACUCCAUCUUCAGUGACUGGAGCUUUAUUCUCUCUUUCCUUGACUUUUCCAUCCUUGCUGGUUGCUCCAGAAAUGCUGCUGUCUAAGUAAAUUCCAGGAGGAGAGCUUCCUGAAAAGAUAUUCCUUCUGUCAAUCGUCCUGUGGAUCAGAGCAGCCCUCUCUGCAAAUAUUGCAGGUGUUGUGUGUAUUGUUUGUAUGCAAACUGGGUACAGGGUAUUCUCUUUGCUAAUAACCUCAUCUCAGGGAAAUGAAUGCCAAAGAAUGUUCAGAUUACCAUACAGUUGCACUCAUUUCACAUGUUAGCAAGAUUAUG